GCCUCAGUGGUGUAGUGGGUAGAGCACGCGUCCCCCGGAUAGGAUAUGAAACGUGGGUUCGAUUCCCGCCUGAGGCC